AAAGAAGAGAGAGUAGAUGAGAUGGCUGAGCAUCAUGCCACAUAGGAGAUUCGUAAAGAGUCCCAAAUUCACGUCAGAGAUGAGCAAACAGAGCUAGAAGGACUCUACCUGCAUGUAUUCUAGGUCACACAGCCAUGGGGUGACAGAGCCCCAUCAUUUGAACACAGGUUCUAGGAUUCCUUAGUUUACAAGCUGAUGCCAAGGAUGACAUCAAAGUUUCCAAGGGUGUGAGAAGAAUGAUGCCACUCAGGAGGUGACCCAAAGGGAGGUGGCAGCCUGGAGAAUCCUGCAGGGUGAGCAAACAGAGCCAGAAGGACUCCAUCUGCCUCUGUUUUGGGUCACAGUCAUGGAGUGGCAGAGCGAUCAUUUGAACUUCAUGUUCAAAUGGUUUAUGGACUCCUAAGUUUACAAGCUGUUACCAAGGAUGACAUGAUCGUUUCCAAGGGUGUGAGAAGAA
rnacentral:lncRNA from 1 species